rnacentral:lncRNA from 1 species
CAUAUCCGAUUUGUCCUGUAAGAAAAAUAGAGUUCAAUUAGUAUGUCACUAAAACCGUACUAUAAGCCUAAGAAAACAACAUUAGUAUGCAACCACAUAUCUAUGAGACUUUAAAUAAGAAUAUCUGAAUAAACAAACAUGGCUACAUCAUCUGGAUUACACAUGCACAUUUUUUUUUCAAAACAUACGCCUAAAAUUUACACUAGCUCGCUACACUUGUUGAUCAAGACGAAAUGUUAAAUAUAUUGCAUCUUGUGUAACAUCUUCCAUUGAACUUUGAUUUGGAACCACAAUAUCCUUUCUGGGCGGCUUAGCACAACACCAUCACAAAGUCCCAUAUCACAAACUCAGAUGGAUUGGCAGACUAACAUCAAUGAACACGUUAUCAAAUCUUAUCUAACCAAAUUAAAUCAAACUCAACAGAUCGGUAAACUAAACAACCACUGAUCAAUUCAUUUUUACAAGAAUUCAAUGGUCAUAGCUACAUACAGGUUGAAAGCUACACCAAAACACCAUAAGAGAACACCACCGUUUACAUUUUUGUGUUAAUUAAGAUAAAAUAUACUACGCCCCUUACUCCCUCUAAACUUUUAGAAUAUCAAUACCAUGACUAAACCUUAAAACUAUAAAACAUCCACUAAAACCUUACUUCACCUCGAUCAAAACAUCCGAAAAAAACAAUGUAAACAUUUUGUCAACAAUUUGAGUAAAAAACUACAUAAAAAUGUGUCAGAUCCAACUCAACUCAAUAUCAACAUAGAUUACACACUAAUAAACAAAUUAGAUAAUCUACAAGUAGUUGUGAUCAGAUCAGAUGAGAUCAGAUAUAUUAUAUAUACUACCAGUAACAAGAGAAUGCUCAAAACACAUCUGAAUAACACUACAUCCCUCUGUAUUUCAUAACCUCAACUGCUGAAUUACAAGUUUACAGUUUAAAGUUAAAAACCACCACUAAAACCCUAACUCCCCUAGAUCGAAAACAUUCUUAAAAUAGGCACAGAAACUAUACAGAUUCAGUCCACGAUUGAUUCAAAUUAAGCAGAAAUAGUUCAGAUCUAGCUUAACUCAAAGUCAGGACAGAUUACACGCACACACUCAUGCGCCUUUUGCGUUUGCGUACUGCAACACUAACUAAUUACAAAUUAGAUAAGCUACAAGUAGAUGUGAUCAGAUAUAUUCGACUAGCAACUAGAAAAUACUCAAAAACACAUCUGUAUAACACCAAUCGCAUGAUUAAAACUUAAAAUUAAAAACCACAACUAAAACCCUAGCUCGCCUAGAUCGAAAACAUUUAUAUCACAAGUCACACAAACUAUACAGAUUCAGUCCACGAUUGAGUCAAAUCAAGUAAAACUAGUUCAGAUCUAGUUUAAAUCGAACUCAAGACGGAUUACAUACUCAUGCAACACUUGCUAAUAACAAAUUAUGUGAAGUACAAGUAAAGGUGACCAGAUCAGAUCAGAUCAGAUCCGAUCGGAGAAAUUCAAUUAGUAAUCAGUAAUCAGUAAUCGGUAACAGCAUGAUGAUGUUCAAACAAAUUGAUAUGAAGUUAACAGAUCCGUAAUCAAAAGCAAGCAGAGAAACUGAAACAAUACCUGCGGCACCGGUAACAAGAACACGAACUGGAUCUUUCGCCAUUUCUGAUGAUCUGAAGAGAGAAACGAGAUUUGAAAGAUGUAAGAGGCGAUGGAAACGAUGAAAGAGGAAGUGGUGGAUAGAUAGAGCAAGGGUGUGAUUUU